rnacentral:misc_RNA from 1 species
CCUUCAAAACCCUUGGCUGCCAAGCUGCUGAGUGCAAGCAGGCACCCAACCCCACUUGCGGUGGAAGCGCGUGCACAUUCAACUUGACCUACGGCGGCUCCUCCGUAGCAGCAAACCUCUCGCAGGACAAUGUCACUCUAGCCACUGACUCUCUUCCAGGCUACACCUUUGGUUGCAUUACAAAAGCCACAGGCAGCUCAGUGCCUCCUCAGGGGCUUCUAGGCCUUGGCAGAGGACCAUUGUCUCUUUUGUCUCAAUCCCAAAGCCUAUACCAAUCUACUUUCUCAUAUUGCCUUCCUAGCUUUAGGUCUCUCAACUUUUCUGGGUCUUUGAGGCUUGGACCCGUUGGGCAGCCCCUGAGGAUCAAGACUACACCAUUGCUCAAAAAUCCCAGGAGGCCGUCACUCUACUAUGUCAACUUGGUUGCAAUUAGGGUUGGAAGAAGAGUUGUUGAUAUUCCUCCUAGUGCUUUGGCUUUCGAUCCAAGCACCGGUGCAGGGACCAUCUUUGAUUCUGGAACUGUAUUCACCCGGCUAGUCACGCCAGCCUACAAUGCGGUCCGUGACGCAUUCCGACAGCGAGUCGGCAACGCAACAGUAACAUCCCUAGG